AGGGUUCGAUUCUGGCUCAGGAUGAACGCUGGCGGCGUGCUUAACACAUGCAAGUCGAACGGGAUCCAUCGGGCUUUGCUUGGUGGUGAGAGUGGCGAACGGGUGAGUAAUGCGUGACCGACCUGCCCCAUGCACCGGAAUAGCUCCUGGAAACGGGUGGUAAUGCCGGAUGCUCCAGUUGAUCGCAUGGUCUUCUGGGAAAGCCUUUGCGGCAUGGGAUGGGGUCGCGUCCUAUCAGCUUGAUGGCGGGGUAACGGCCCACCAUGGCUUCGACGGGUAGCCGGCCUGAGAGGGCGACCGGCCACAUUGGGACUGAGAUACGGCCCAGACUCCUACGGGAGGCAGCAGUGGGGAAUAUUGCACAAUGGGCGCAAGCCUGAUGCAGCGACGCCGCGUGAGGGAUGGAGGCCUUCGGGUUGUAAACCUCUUUUGUUAGGGAGCAAGGCAUUUUGUGUUGAGUGUACCUUUCGAAUAAGCACCGGCUAACUACGUGCCAGCAGCCGCGGUAAUACGUAGGGUGCAAGCGUUAUCCGGAAUUAUUGGGCGUAAAGGGCUCGUAGGCGGUUCGUCGCGUCCGGUGUGAAAGUCCAUCGCUUAACGGUGGAUCCGCGCCGGGUACGGGCGGGCUUGAGUGCGGUAGGGGAGACUGGAAUUCCCGGUGUAACGGUGGAAUGUGUAGAUAUCGGGAAGAACACCAAUGGCGAAGGCAGGUCUCUGGGCCGUUACUGACGCUGAGGAGCGAAAGCGUGGGGAGCGAACAGGAUUAGAUACCCUGGUAGUCCACGCCGUANACGGUGGAUGCUGGAUGUGGGGCCCGUUCCACGGGUUCCGUGUCGGAGCUAACGCGUUAAGCAUCCCGCCUGGGGAGUACGGCCGCAAGGCUAAAACUCAAAGAAAUUGACGGGGGCCCGC
rnacentral:rRNA from 1 species